rnacentral:rRNA from 1 species
UACGUAGGGUGCGAGCGUUAAUCGGAAUUACUGGGCGUAAAGCGUGCGCAGGCGGUUUUGUAAGCCAGAUGUGAAAGCCCCGGGCUUAACCCUGGGAAUGGCAUUUGGGACUGCAAGGCUUGAGUGCGGCAGAGGAGACUGGAAUUCCUGGUGUAGCAGUGAAAUGCGUAGAUAUCAGGAGGAAUACCGAUGGCGAAGGCAGGUCUCUGGGCUGACACUGACGCUCAUGCACGAAAGCGUGGGGAGCAAACAGG